rnacentral:lncRNA from 1 species
UAAAAACCCACCUCGUACGGCUCGUAUAUUUGCUUUUAGAUUAUUUUAUUUAUUAUAUUAAUUUUGGUUCAUUCAACCUAACCUGGCAAGAUCGGGAUUACCCAUCCAGCCAUCUGACUCAUAUUCAUCGGUGAAUACGUGUCCCCACAGAUAUGGGAUAAAGUUGUCAUAAUUUUAGGCUUGCAUUUUUGGAAUAUUCCUUGCGUUGCUCACUGUAAUUUAAAAAUAAAGUCCAACUUUUCAAGUAAAAUUUUAAAGCGAGCAAGAUGGUGGAACUUUUGUGAAUUUUAUUAUUUCUUUGGAAUCAUCUUGUGUCUAGGAUAUUUCUCAUUUAUGGAAAGUAGAGGGAUUUUUGUCCUUUUUUUAAUUUUAGUUUUUCAUUAGAAAGUAUCUCGGAUAAAGAAUGUAGGAGAGACAUACGAGAGAUAUAGUGAAGAUUAAUGCAAGAGCAUUACCUUGGUAUCAAUGGAAUAAAACAAAAGUUUUUAAGGACAAUAUGAUCAGAAUAGUAAGGCUAAGCCACAAUAAAAUUAUGCAAGUGAAACGAAUUGCAAGCAUGCUUCAUUCCGACACAAAGGAAAGGAUCAGUUUGUGAGAAAUUUGUGGUUUUUUUGUAUGUUAAAAUUGUAUACAUUACCCCAAAUUUAUAAGGUUACAAAACAAUGUACGAAAUCAAUAACCUUCCUAAUAUGAGGUGCAGUAUAUAUUAAUUGCUAUAGUCGCACAUUUGUAAUUCUUAUUACCUUAAUAACUAAAGGCCAACAGUCUCUAUCUUUAGUGUAGUUUAUGUUCUUGAGAUGUUGAUUCGUUAUAGCAUUGCGAAUUGGGAAUUAGUGGGGAUUGAUGGGAUUCUUAGUUGGAACAAAUGGUUUGUCUUCAGUUCACUUUCAUUCCUUAAAUACCCCAUUCUUGCUCUAUCUUCUCCUCUCCUCUCCUCUUGACAACAAGGGCUUGAGUUGCAAGUUCAAGCACCACCUUAUAAGCCUCCUUGAAAUUUUUAACCUUGGAUUCCAAGUUUAAAUCUCAUGCUUUUUGUAGUACCUUAUAAAGUUUCAGUAGACCACACGGUUUAUUUAGGAUUGCAAAUUUUAAAAAGGGGUCUCUGUCUUUUUCCAUUUCUUCUGAAAACAAAAGAGAAAAAUCACAAAAGGAAAGUGAUGGGGAAAGUAAAAACAGCUAUAUUCUUUUCAAAUUUGAGUUGUAUGAAUAAUAAACUUCCAUUGAUUUUGAGUCCCAAGUUUUAAUUUUUCUUACUCAACCAAAAGAACAAGACCUCUACUUUUCAUGGUUCCAAAUUGAACUUCUACACAAGUUUCUACUUUUCAUGGUUCCAAAUUGAAUUUCUACACAAGUUAUAUGGGAGAGAGAGGCAAAUGUAUGUACAAGACUACAAGGUAUUAGAUUGUGUUGGGAGGUUCCACACGGAGAUGCGAGACUGGUAUUUAUACGGAUAUGACAUUAAAGGUCCCUUAGAACUCUUGAACAUAAAUCUCCUCAAAAGCUCUUGGAAAAAAUAAAAAUAAAAAUAAAAAUAAAGAAAAAAAUAAAAAGAAAAAAAAUGCUUUGGCUAAGGUUGGAGUUUCUGUACCUUCUCUUGCUAUUUCUGAUGAUGUAAUCUCAUUUUUUUAACUCCUCGCUUCUCAUUCCUAAUGUUUCGGCUGCCAUUCUCAGCUCUUCCUGCACUUUCCCAUUUUCUGGCAAUCGGAAAACCACUUUUUGGCUUAGAUUUUUGUCUUUUUGCCACUGGAAAACCACUUGUCUUCCUAAUUUUCUAUCUUUCUCCCAUUGGAAAACGGCCUGACCUCUUAAUUCUCCACUUUCUUGUCGACAGAAAACUGCCUCGCC